AAGAAUUUAUUAUUUAGUUUUUUUGGAACGAAGGCUCCAGAAGAGUCCGACUUUGAAUUAACAAAGCCAUCAACCGGCCAGGACUUACAACGACCCAAACAACAAGAAAGAAAACAAAGAAAACUGAAAACGGCAGAUACAAGGUGCUUCCAAACAGCUUACACACACCACAACAGAGAGCACAAGGAUAUUCUACCGGAAGUCUAGCUAAAUGUUGAUGGAGCUCUUCGACGCGAAUUAAGCACCAAAACAGUGACAGCAAGCGAGCUUCAAGAGGAAAUCGCGCUCAGCGAAGAUGAACAUGCCCUCAUCAAACCCAAAGGAGACCACCAUCAUCGAACCUUCCUUCUUCAAUUCCGAAGGGGACCCCUGCCCCUCGCCCUGGAUCGAAGGGCGCCGGACCGUCGCAAAUUGAAGCAGCUCACCCUAGAGCAAGGAGCGGUAGAUUCAGUAUCGCCUUGGGAGAUACUCAGUGUGACCAACCCACUGUGCAAGAUCACCAGGAGAAGGGCCAAACCGCAGCUCAAUGGUCACCACACGAAGAGAAGAAGCUGUACAAGGACGAGGGCAACGAAGAAACAAUCACAGAGUUGAUAAACACCUGAAGCUGAGACAUGACUUUUGCUUAGAUUAGAAUCCAUGUCUGAAUCGCCUAUGCCGUAUUGCUGCAUGCAGGGGAGAGGAACCCUAUCCCCUCCCCCCACCAUGGCAACACACAAACGGCCGGCCUACGGACACCCCAGAGAGCUAAUCUUGUGAAAAAUCCCAGUGUUAUCUCCAACUGAGAUGUCGCUGCGCGCCGGAGAACCACAUCUAAACGCCAAUGCACACUCCCAACUCGCCCAAGACGACACCUUCAGGAAGAUGACGACGCAAGCCGCGCCGCUGCCGCCUAGACCAGAACUGGCAAAGGUUUUCACCCGGGUAUGAGAGGGGAGGGAGAGGGGAUCGAACCUCGACGGCGCCUCCGAGAAGGGGAACGAUGCCAGCCGGCGUCACAGCCGUCGUGGCCGGAAAAGCCGGUCAAAGAUUUCUCCCGGUCCGAGCUCUCAACUCCGGCAACCCCACUUUCAACGGAUCCGGCGACCGACGCCCGCCACGACCCAAAUCCAGCGAGGAACAGGCAAGGGAAGGGGGAGGAAGAAGAUCUCCAGAUUUGACGCGCAGCCAGGGGCACGAGGCCACCCGCCUCGACCAUCGCCCAACGCCUCAACCACUCACCGCCCGCACGGCCAAGUGGGAAGGAGGAGCACCAGCAGACGCCGCUCGCCGCAAAGCAGGCGCCGCCGCACCAUCCGAGGCCACUGCCUCGGCUACAAAGGCCCUUCGCGUGGAGACGGAGCGGCACGGCCUCGCCGCCACCUUCCCUAGCAGCCUGCGGACUUCGCCGGCGACCCCUCUGGCGGCGGCGAGGCAGGGGGACGGGGGGAGGAGGCUUGGCGGCUAGGGUUGCGUCGCCGCCUGCGUCGCCCCGUGCGGACCGAGAAAAAUUAUUUGUAUGUAUGCGAUGAUUCGAAUUUAUUAUUUAGUCUAGCAUGGUCUUAUGUAUUUGCAUGAUUGUGCCCAGUAUUAAGGUUAGUUUCUUGAUAAAUGAAAAAAGGGCUUGUUUGGAUAUUAAGAUACAUAAUAACAUGAUGAGGCCAUGCUUGUGCAUCAUCAGUUCAUCACUAAUAAUAUUCAUUGUGGCCAUGUAUGUAUAUUAUUUUGGAAGAAUAAUAAUUGGGAAAAUAUUUGUCG
rnacentral:lncRNA from 1 species